rnacentral:tRNA from 1 species
GCGGCCGUAGUCUAGAGGCAGGACACGAGCCUUCCAAGCUCGCGGCCCGGGUUCAAUUCCCGGCGGCCGCA